rnacentral:lncRNA from 1 species
UUUUUCUUGUUUUUUGCCUGUGGUGUGCAGAGGACUGAUGUGGGGUCUCUGCUCCCAGGCCAGGGAUUGAAUAUGGGCCACAGAUGUGAACGCACCGAGUCUGAACCCCUAGACCAACAGGGAACUCCCUUCUGGACACACUCUUCCUGGAAAAUUAACAGCGUCUACCUUUCCAUCCAAUUAACCAGGAAGAACUGCAGAAAUGAAAGCCGUUUCUGGCUUGUUAUCAUAUUCUAGCCUUUGGGACAAGGACCAUACAUACACAUCACCAAGUAGGGAGAAAAAGUGUGUCCACAUCAUAACCCCAGAGAUAGUGCAUCUGUGGGUGAGAGAAGAAAUCUCAUGACAUGAACUCUGGAUAAAGGACAGACAGGCGAGUGGGAGGCCCUGAGCUGUGGCUACAAACAGUACAAGGGGGGAUGUUUCUGGGAGAAAGAAACCCCAAGGCUAAGGCUCAUGUCCAUCUAGAUUGUUCUCUGAGGGUGCUGUCGAAACUCAGCCUCCGUCUACCGUGGAGAUGGAGUUUUGGGGGAAGGAGGAAAAAAAUUACUUAAACUGCUUUGCCAGGCAAAGGGGGUCACAGCAGGCUGUUGCCCUAAAGACUGGGUCCCCCUUUGGGAGAGAUGAGGAGGGGUGGUUUUACAGUUUGGGAAGUAGAAAAUACAGCCCCAGAGAAGGUGCAGGGUGGGUGCAAGCUUGCACUCUUCUCCAGAGGUGGUGUUUAGGGGCCCCAGGACAGGUCCUGGGGGUCCUCCUCUCUGGCUGUCAUUGGUUGGGGGUUUAGUUCUGCACAAGAGCUCAAAGACCUCACUGAGUGUAUCACCUGAGGAACAAGGUCCUGCCGCAGGAGGCACUGAGGUCCCCUGAUGGCCCCUCCCCGGUCUAUGCACCCCCUCCCUUCCCUGAUCAACACCUGCCCGCACCUGCCUUUGGGGCUCAGGGAAGGGCCUGGAGGAUGAAGCUUACUUCCUAAAAAACCAGGCAUGGAGGGGGGCACAGGCAGGCCUGUGCUUUUCCCUGUGGGAGCACAGACCCGAGGCCCCAGCCCUCAGGAAGCAGUCACUGUGUCAAGCACAGGCUAGUUCCAUCAUCUGGGUUCUUCACCAAAUUUCAUCCCCACACUUUGGGAUCAGAUGCAGAAAUGCAGAGGGGCAGACAAAUGUGCAACUGCAUCAAAUCCCAACAUGAGAGACUCCAGGUCCUAACUACAGACACUAGAGAAGGUGACAGAGGUGGAAACAUCGGGAAGGACGGACGAGAAGAGCAGGAAGGGAAACGUGACGACGAAGAAGGUACAGGGGUGGCCCCAUUUCACGGAGCACCCCCCCAAAAUUAGGCAACGCUAACUAGAAAAGGAGGUGAUUAUUUUCAGUUUGAAUGCAGUACCAUUAAUUCCACCAAGAAAGGGAAAACUGACCCCAUGAUCUAGUAACCUCACGCCUGGACACACAUCCAGAAAAUACACACACUAUCAAAAAGAUCCAUGCACCCCUAAGUUGACAGCAGCACUAUUCCCAAGAGCCAAGACCUGCAACAAUCUAAAUGUCCAACGAUAGAGGAGUGGUUAAAGGAGACACGGUGCAUAUGCACAAGGGAACACUACUCAGCCAAGACAAUGAAUGCACUUGCAGCAGCAGGGAAGGACGUGGAGGGCAUUAUAUUAAGUGACAUGAGUCAGCCAAAAACAAAGACAAAUACUGUAUCAGAGCACUUAAAUAUGGAAUGUGAAAAAAACACAACAGACGAGUGAGUAUGACCCAAAAGCACCAGACUCACAGAUACAGAAAAGUAGGGGUGACCCCUUGGGGGUUGGGGAAAUAGGGGGAAGGGAGUGAGAGGUACAAACUGCUAUGUUUAAAAUAUACAUGUUGCAAAGGGGAUCCUGUACAGCACAGGGAAGAGAGCCAAUAUUUUACACAAAACGUAAAUGGAACAUAACGUCCAACAAGAAAAAGGCCCAUCUUCCCAGGCUCUGCACAGCCGUGCUGGCCGGGGCUAGAAGCUGGUUCUGCAGCACAGCUCCAACCUCCUUCCACACCCGUGUCUACUCACUGCUCCAGGGUCGCCAGGACCCAGGCCACCACAUGACCAAGGCGGGGACCCUCAAACCUACUGGGGGGGGGCCUCUAGGGCCAUUCCCUCUCCCUUCCCCAGAUUCUGCUGCUGCUGCCCUCCUAGUAGCUCACAUCUCUCCCCAGCCCCAUUAUUCACUGAUCCUUCCUUCAUCCCCAACAAGCUCACAAAAUCAAACCCCAUACCAUUCCCUCAGCUUGGUGCCCACAGCAUUACUCAGGCAAAUACAUCCCCUAAACUCCUCAGGCACCUCUGCCAGACCCGAGGGACUUAAAUGGUGUAUCAGGGCGUGCAGAGCAGCUGAACCAAUAGAAUGUUUGAAAGCAGAGGGAGAGACAGACUCAUUUUAAGGAAUCGUCUCAUGCAGUUGUGAAGGAUGGCAGGUCCAGAGGUUGCAGGCAGCCUGGCAGGCUGGAGGCCCAGGGAUCAGGCAAUGCUGUAGCGUGAAGCCGACAUCUGUCUGGAGGCAGAAUUCCCCCUCCCUCAGGGACCUCAGUCUUUUCCCUCUAAAGGUCCUCACCUGAUUAGGUACCGACCACCCACUCAGGACUCGAAUGAUUCUUUGUUCUUUUGUUUGCUUUUUAGGGUCCCAACCUCAGCACGUGGACGUUCUUGGGCCAGGGGUCAAAUCAGAGCUGCAGCUGCCAGCCUACACCACAGCCACUGGCAACACGGGAUCUGAGCCACAUGCUCUAACUAUACCUCACCUUGUGGCAAUGCUGGAUCCUUAAGCCCUCAUCAAAGUCAGUGACUGACCCUGCAUCUUCUCUGACACUUUGUCAAGGUCUUCUACCUCUGAGCCACAAAGGGAUCGCCGUACUUUUAGACUCUGCAUAUGGGUGAUGAUGAUGUAAGGAAGUGCCUUUCUCUGACUUAUCUCACCCAACACCAUACCUCCAGGUCCUGGUUGGAUGGAGGGAGCUGAGAGGGUCUCCACCUCUCUCUCCAGGAGGCUGGUAUAAGACCCUGGGACACCCUGACCUCAGUCAUCUGGUCUCCAGCACUGGGGGAGGGUGGGUUCCUGUGGUGGUAACCUGGGUGGUGUGUGGUCAUUUAUUGUCACAAGCCCACGAAACCCCUUUAUGGAGCAAAGACAACCAAUCACUACGUCCGUGAGAAUCAAAAAUGCAAACUUACGUUGUAGAAACACAUCUGUCAGGAGACACCAGCGACAUGUAUUUAUUUACAGGGACUAAGAGCUUCAGCCGUGCAAAAGCAAAGAGUCCAACCUGAGACAGUUGAGUCCCCAGUGCUGUCACCUUUCCCGUGUCAGACACAAGUCACAAAACACUGUCACAGGAUGAACCAGAGGGAGGUCGCUGCCACCAUCCCUAAAGCGUGCUCCACAUCCGUGCCCACACUGCACCAGCCACCCUGUCUCGGUCAGCAGGACACGGGAGGCUACUUCUCCUUUUCUAACAGCCAUGAAAACCACCGAGGGUUUUAAGCAGGUAUGGACACACCUUGAUUGGUGUUCUAGAGAAUUCACUGAUUAGCGAGAACAAUGGGUGACAGGGAAAAGGGUGAGAUCUCGGGGGUCUGCCAGGAGGAGUUGUUUGACUGAGAAGGGUAAACAUGUUUACUUGUUCAAACAAAAAGGCGUCUUUGCUCACAUUGCUUCUGACACCCACUGUGGGGCAUUUCCACCCCAAGGAAUCCUCCAGUUCCCUUUGGACCCCAGCUGGGCGGCCUCCAGUUCAAUUAACCUCAGAAAGCACCCUGAGUUGGUCGGAAUGCCCACAUGAGAUCCCCCAACCCCACCAUCACCAGCAAACACAGGCCCCCACACUUCUGUCCAACAUGCCCACAGAUUGAGGGUCCCCAUGUCCUCCCCCAAAGAACUCAGGAAACACCUGACUUACCUGUUGCUCAUCAACAGGGGAAGAGCCAGAGGGGGAGGGGAGGGUGGGAGUGGGUCCCACAUGCAGGAGCUUCUGUCUCCUUGGACUUGGCGGGGCUGCACCCUCCCAACCGUGGGCUCCCCAACCCACAAGCUCUCUGGACCCCCUUUUUUUGGGGAGGGUCCACUAGGCAGGCCUGAUUAAAGGUUGACCCCUCAGCAAGUCUGGAGGUUUGGGAUGGAGCUAAAAGAGCCAGUACUUUCAUCCCCUGGGUGGUUCCUCUGGCACCAGCCCCACCUCAUUAGCAUAAACAGGUGAGCCUGGGUUUCUCAGGAAAAACUAAAGAUGCUGUGCUCACAGGGAUGAAGAACUUGCUGUGGUUUAAGAGCUGUGUGCCAGGGACCAGGUCCUCCUGGAUGAAGAAGGACCCUCAACCUAAUAACAAGUAUCCCCAUAACAGAGAAGACACAGAGGAGAAGCCACGGGAAGGGUCUGAGAGGAGGUCCUCCUGGAUGAGGGGGCCCCUCCCUACAAGGACAGGGUCCUCCCAAGAGACAGAAGAGGAGACACCACAAGAAGACGGAGGCAGAGAGCGUCUUGGGGACACAGGCAGGGCGGUGCAGCCUCCUGAGAGAGGCCCAAGUCUCGAAGAAAGCUCCCUCAUAAGUAACAGCCGAGACAAAAAGCCAACACCAUAACGUCAAUCAAGAAAUAGGCCCAUCUUCCCACGUUCUGCACGGCCGUGCUGGCCAGGGCUAGAAGCUGGUUCUGCAGCACAGCUCCAACCUCCUUCCACACCCGUGUGUACUCACUGCUCCAGGGUCGCCAGGACCCAGGGCACCACAUGACCAAGGCGGGGACCCUCAAACCUGUUGUGGGAGGAGCCUCUGGGGCCUUUCCCUCUCCCGUCUCCAGAUUCUGCUGUCCUACUAGCUCACGUCUCUUCCCAGACCCAUUAUUCACCGGUCAAAAGAAUCUUCCUUCAUCCCAAAGAGGC